GUCUUUUUGAUUAUAAUUUAAAGUCUGACCUGCCCAAUGAGGAUUUGAAUGGCCGCAGUAUUUUGACUGUGCAAAGGUAGCAUAAUCAUUAGUUUCUUAAUUAGAAACUGGAAUGAAAGGUUGAACGAGAAAAUAACUGUCUCAUUAUAAUUUAUUUAGAAUUUUAUUUUUAAGUUAAAAAGCUUAAAUAAGUUUAAAAGACGAGAAGACCCUAUAGAGUUUAAUAUUUAAUAAAUUAAUUUUAUUUAUAGAAUUUUAUUUAUAUUAUUAUUAUUAAAUAUUUAAUUGGGGUGAUUAAAAAAUUUAUUAAACUUUUUUUUAACUUAAACAUUAAUUUAUGAGUAUGUGAUCCAAUAAUAUUGAUUAUAAGAUUAAAUUACCUUAGGGAUAACAGCGUAAUUUUUUUUAAGAGUUCUUAUCGAUAAAAAAGUUUGCGACCUCGAUGUUGGAUUAAAAUUAAAUUUUGGUGUAGAAGCUAAAAAAUUAGGUCUGUUCGACCUUUAAAAUUUUACAUGAUCUGAGUUUAAACCGGUGUAAGCCAGGUUGGUUUCUAUCUUUAAAUGUAUAUAAUAUUUUAGUACGAAAGGACCAAAUAUUUAUAAUAAUUAUAUGUAUAUUGAAUUAUAUUAAAUAU
rnacentral:rRNA from 1 species